rnacentral:tRNA from 1 species
AAUAAGAAGCAAAUAUUGCAAUUAGUUUCGACCUAAUCUUAUGGCUUUCAGCCCUUAUUU